CCAAUAGCGUAUAUUAAAGUUGUUGCAGUUAAAAAGCUCGGAGUUGAAUUUCGGGAUUGACGUGAUGGUCGUGCCUUACGGGGUAUGAACUGUCGCAGUUGAUUUCUCACCUUCUGGAGAAGCGCGAUGUCCUUAAUUGGGUGUCUUUCGGAACCAGGACCUUUACCUUGAAAAAAUUAGAGUGUUUAAAGCAGGCAUUUUGCUCGAAUACAUUAGCAUGGAAUAAUAGAAUAGGACGGCAUGGUUCUAUUUUGUUGGUUUCUAGGAUCACCGUAAUGAUUAAUAGGGAUAGUUGGGGGCAUUAGUAUUCAAUUGUCAGAGGUGAAAUUCUUGGAUUUAUUGAAGACUAACUACUGCGAAAGCAUUUGCCAAGGAUGUUUUCAUUAAUCAAGAACGAAAGUUAGGGGAUCGAAGACGAUCAGAUACCGUCGUAGUCUUAACCAUAAACUAUGCCGACUAGGAAUCAGACGAUGUUAAUUUUUUAAUGACUCGUUUGGCACCUUACG
rnacentral:rRNA from 1 species